rnacentral:ncRNA from 1 species
UCGGUUCCGGUUCACGCUUCGCGCGUUCGCGCGGGCGACCCGGCGACC